GCCCUUUAACCCGUCUCUCCCCGCAGCCGCACCGGGCAGGGGUGCUCGGUCUGCAGAGACCGGGAGGGCAGGGAGUCGGGUGACCAGGCAGCAAAUGUGAAAAAUCAGGACUGGGGAGGGGGGGGUAAUAGAAGGUGGUGGGGGGGGGUAAUUGUGUGCCCCCCCCGCCCACAAAAGAGCGAUACAGAGGCAAAUGCAGUGGGUUGGUGCCCAGCUAAGCAUUGUUAGAAAAUAAGAAAAAGACCCCAAAAUCGGGACGGCCCCUCCUUAUUUAAUAUUUGCCUGGCUUCAGCCCCGAGGCAGAGGUGGCUUCAGAUUUAUGUAUUUACCCUGGGCACAGAGAACAGUUGGGCCCCCUGCUUCCCCGGGGCCCAAGAACUGGGGAAGUCCUCGGGAGCCAUGCACCUGCUUCCCCGGGGCCCAAGAACUGGGGGAGUCCUUGGGAGCCAUGCACCUGCUUCCCCGGGGCCCAAGAACUGGGGAAGUCCUCGGGAGCCAUGCACCUGCUUCCCCGGGGCCCAAGAACUGGGGGAGUCCUUGGGAGCCAUGCACCUGCUUCCCCGGGGCCCAAGAACUGGGGAAGUCCUUGGGAGCCAUGCACCCCCCCCCCCCCCCACACACACACACACACUCUCUCUCUCUCUCUCUCUCUCAUUUUUAAAGGAGGGCCAGGCCUGGCGCUCACUUUUGAACCUGGGCGGCGUAGCCUUAGGCAAGCGCAAAGCCCCUGCUAGCAGCACCAGCCUCUUUCCAGUGGGGGGGUUGAGGUGGGCCUGAGCCCCUCACCACAGGGCCCCACAACCUGCUUCUCCUCGACCUCCUCCCUCCCAAGGCCCCACCCGCAGGCCAGGCCGGAAGCUGGAGCCAGGCCCUAGUAAGAGCCAGCCAGCCUGGCCCCUGGGAGGAGCUCUGGACACUCCAGCUGCCCUGGACAAUGUGCCCUGGGGGGAGGGGACAUGGUCCAAGGGCUGCUCUUGGGCCCCCCAGGCCGGUGAAGGGUCCAAGGCUCCCCACAGUGGCCUGAGCUCCCUAGCCUGGCUCUGGCUUCCAGCCUGUCCAGGGGGUGGGGCAUUACGAGGAAGAGGAGGAGCAAGGCGCAGGGCCACACUUCCCCUGCUGGUGCCUCCCCCCACUUCUACACAUCUUCCAGUGCUCCUGCAGGGCCUCCAGAUUGGCUGGGGCCCCUGGCCAGUGCAUUACUCAGCCUAGGAGUACCUAGGAGCCCCAGCCAUGGAUCUAGGGUUGCCAUUGUCCUGGAGCCUCCAGGAUUAAUCUUUAAUUAAGGAUUAUGGCAUGUGAUGAAACCUCCAGGAACACUUCCAACCAAAACUGGCAACCCUAUGUGGAUCAGGGCCCCCUCCUGCUAAGUGCUGUAGGAACACAAAGAUGGCCCCUACCCACAAAAGAGUGAUACAGAGGCAAAUGCAGUGGGUUGGUGCCCAGUCUAUGAAUUGCAGGUGCACUGGCCAAGGGGAGCUGUAAAAAUAAAGAAUUCCUCUCACUGUGUGUGCAGCUUGCAACCUCCAGCUCCACCCCACCUCUCAGUGCAUUUGCAACUGCUGUUGUGCAAUCAUCGCUAACUUCACCCACCCCCCUUCCUGGAACUCAAGGGCAAAGACUAUCUUUCUGUGACCUGCCUAGCACAAUGGGACCCUGAUCCAGAGCCUCUAGGCACCCCCACAAUACAAGUCAUUAGUGAAUCCUCACAACUCCUCACAUGAGGCAGGCCAACAGAACGUAAUAGGGACAUGUAAAGAGAAACUGUUACCCAUGGACCUCUCCAGGCCAACUGGCAAGGGGGAUACAAGAAUACCCUGAUUCAGACCAUUUCUCCUGUUUUUUCAAGAUCAUUUUGAAUUCCAAUUCUUUCCUCCAAAAUGCUUGCAACCCCUCCCAGUUUGCUGUCUUCUGAAAAUUUUAUAAUUGUACUCUCUGUGAUGCCACCAGACAAGUGCCAGCUCAAGCCGAAGUCCCCAUGUGUCAAUUGAACACUGACAAAUAUGUAGCUGGAAUCAGUCUGGUUUACCUGUGUGUUAGUAUUGUUACAAUGGUAUUAGAAUUAUAAGAAUGUGUUUAGACUUGAUUGAAUGCUUGUGAGUUGCUGGAUGCAUUAAUCUCACUUGUAACAUCUGUAUCCCUUAUUCAAGGUAAUGUUUGAGUGGUUGUAUUUGAGCCUCAGGGGCUGUGUAAAUCACUAGACAGGAGAGUGGCAUUAACCAAAUGAAGUGCUGAUCUCCAGCAGAAGGUAUUACAUCUGGUCUGACAGGAAAGGUCCAUUGACACUCGCUGGACUAUUGUGGGAUGUUAAAGAGGACAAACAAACAAUGUUGGUUGUUCUGCCCUCCUGUUGGAUCAUAUUAAAGAAGUUCUGUAUUAAAAUCACAAAUGAGUUUGAUUCCCCAUAAUUAGUAAUACCCUGGAAUUUAAACUAAGAGGUCUCUUGUUUUUUGGUCUCUUGUUUUUACUAUUUCUCUCCCUCUCUGUGUGAAACUUGCAAGCUGCUAAUUGUGUUAGUACAUCCUAAGACAGAGUCUGUUCUCAAAGCAAUACUUUGAAACAACAACUACUGGCACAGAGAGAGACUCAAAGCGAUACUUUGUAACAACAGAAAUAGCACACAGAGACUCCCCAUCCUUUUGUUGUAUUUAUCUCGCUUUGUUAACAAUUGUGAUUAAAAUAGAGAUAGAGGAUGUAUGUGGAUGGAUGCUUGGUAUGGAUAAUAACUGAAUGAUCAGGGAGGUGCCAGCCUAAGAAACCAUUGUCCAUCGGCCAAAGAAGGCGUCAAGUGGAGACAACCAGAGGACCCCCGGAGGGCAGACUGGAAUCCACCCAACAGCCUCAAGGAUGGGAGAACCGAAGAACAACAUGGAGCCGUCAGGAAUGUGCCAUCUGCUGAUUGAUUCAGCAACAGCAUGAUGAAGCAAUUCCCAUAGACUGGCAUAAGAAGAAAUUCCUAUAAAAAUGGACUCUAGAAACUGAGAACUUUGGGGUCUGAUUCUGCAAACCAACUUCCAGGAGCGUCAGACGUGCAUCUGACAAGGCCCUGCUCCCUCCUUAUGUCCAGGCCACCUGGCCAGCAGCUUGGCACGAGCAACUCUAAGGCUGGUGACUAUGAUAACAACCUUGCAGAAUCUGUGUGUGUGUGUAUGAAUGAAUGUGUGAAUAAAUAUGAAAUUUAAUGGAAUGUUAUAGCUAUACCCAACUGCUUACUAUGAUUCUUUCUGUAUUCACAAUAAAUGUGGCAUUUUGCCUUAUUCCCUUUAAUAAGAUCCUGCUGGUUUUUAUUUAUUGG